rnacentral:misc_RNA from 1 species
AAAAACGCACAAUUAGCUGGGGUCAUUGAGUAUUUAGACGCUGGAUAUGAGCCGCAUGUACAUGAUUUUUGCCCUAACAGAGCAAAAUUCUUGGAUCACCGACUCUUGUCAUUAAAGGACGACUUAAGAAAUUUGGAAUUUAAUAUUAAAGAAUAUGUAUCAAAAUUGGGAGAGGCUAGAUUAAGAGUUCCUAAAGGUAGAUAUUUUUUAAAUUCCUAACUGGCAGCUAUCGUACUCAUUGAUAAGAACAUUUGUUGAUGCUGAAACUAUAUGAGAAUGGCAAAAAAAUUGACAAUCUGAAUGUUCCAAAUCUGAAUUCAUAUUAAUGUGUGAAUUCUUCCUUUUAAGGUGGCCCACAUCCUUCCUCGAAAACCGACAGUGGAAUUGGAAUGCCGCCAGAUACUAGUAGAUUUUCACUUUGUCAAAAGAAAGAAGGGAAUGAUGUUGGUGAUGGUGAUCUUUAAAGACUUGAUUUUUCGCUGAUCAUGAAAAUGGCGAUGAUUAUAACCAUGGUGAGAGAUAUUGAUGAACAAAUGUACCGCAAUGAGCAACAUACAUGUAUACAGUAUGAUGCAGUAAAUACUCGUACAAAACGGCAAUGUGUUUACAUUGGUGACGAAACAUCCUUUGUUCAAUAUAAUACAAUGAAAUUAUUAUGGUUCAUUCAUGUACUCAAACAUUAAGCACACCGGUAUCAAAAGUACAUGUAAUGCCAUAAUCUAAUACUUGUGAAAUCCGCUGUGUUCUAUAAAUGUAAAGAUUAUUGACGAUAUUGGUCAUAUUAUAUGUUAUUUUGUACGUGUUUGUCGAGACAGAAAUAUAUUAUUUCUGUAAUACGUAUCACAAUGAACUGAUUGUUAUUUGUUGGUUAUUUAAUGCAUGUAGAUGUUUUGAUGUAUAAUGAUGUUUUACUAGUAUUCAAGUCUUUCAUUUUAAAAAAACUAAAAAUUGUUCAGUUCCAACUAAUGUUUUCUGAAUGCUAUAUAAUUUGAAUAAAAAGAUAUCAACAAGCAAUGUUGGUAGAGGGAGGGGCACCGUCUUUCUGCUGUGAAAUAUUUUCUUUACAUGCAGCUAGGUCAUGUGAUACUAUAUAUAGUAUAUAAAUGUAUAUUUCAUUGUACUUUUACGAUUAACCAUUAACCAAGUGCCCAUCUACCUUUGCAUCAUGUAUUAUAAUGACUGUUUUUUUUGACGUGUUUGGAAUAAAAGAUUCAUUUUGUU